rnacentral:rRNA from 1 species
UACGUAGGGAGCAAGCGUUGUCCGGAAUUAUUGGGCGUAAAGGGCGCGUAGGCGGUUGGAUAAGUCUUGUGUGAAAUCUUCGGGCUCAACUCGAAGUCUGCACGAGAAACUAUCUGGCUUGAGUGUGGGAGAGGUGAGUGGAAUUCCUGGUGUAGCGGUGAAAUGCGUAGAUAUCAGGAAGAACACCUGUGGCGAAAGCGGCUCACUGGACCACAACUGACGCUGAGGCGCGAAAGCUAGGGGAGCAAACAGG